GUUGCUACCACAAUUUCUGCCGUCGAUGCCACCGUAGGUGCCGUAGUAUAACACAUUUUCAUAUCUGUUCACUCCCGAGCUUCUUCUUCAAUGCCGCUUUCUCUCACUCCAAUUCCUUUGAACUGCCGCGCCGCUGGCUGAAGAGUGUUAUCUAUCACUUUAGAGGAAAUAGAGAAUGACCUCGGCUAAGAAUCGGGAUUGGAAGGCUUCCUGGGCAAAUGGAUCCUAAAGCAUUCUUGCUUCAAAAAUUCAAUGUAACAGCUAGACAACAAAUAGCAAAUCUUUUGGAUUGCACUUCAUGGUCAGGGGCUGGACCAGGGUUAAUGAAUGCAGUUACUCAAGGUGCUUUGCAAGCAGGAAAACCAGUUGGCAGAUUCAAGAUUGGAAAAGAAGUUGGGGAAUGGACUGCAUCCAACUACCAUCCGUA